UAACCAGGAAAUAGAAACUAUUCCGACAUUUUAAACUCAGCGGAACAACAAAGUUUAGGGAUUAUCAAAGAAACUGAAAACGUCCCAGCGGACACUUAAAGGUGUUGAAUGUAACAGCUGAGGUUGCUGAAAGGUAUAAAGGAUUAUUUAAAAGAAAAAGAACAAACACCAACAACGAGGACAGUAUUUACUUUCUGUCUGACAUCUGCUUGAAAGCAUUGAAAGCAUCAGAGAAUGGUCUACCGGAUUGUGGUCAAGGAUGAAAUGGGGAUUUCUCGGACGAUGGACCUCGGCAACACAGAGCUGGAGAUGCAGAGAGUAACCGUGGGUCAUCUGAAGACAAGGAUAUCGAAGGUCUGUGGAAUCCCAGAAAACCAGCAACUAUUGAUCUUUGAAGGCAGAGAGCUGAAAGGCAACAUGAAACCACUGUUUGAAUAUGGGAUCCAGCACAUGUCCUGCAUACAGAUGGCUUUACCACUACGUGGUGGAGGGCUGCCUCCUCUGCAUGACAGAGGACUGGGUGAUAAGGAGGGUGAAACCCGAAGAAGUAAAGAAUGCUUGAUGCCUGAUGUUUGAAUCUCCAAAUACAUUUUUAUGGUUCCAAGGUGAAUCUUUCCACGCAUCAAAACGCCUGUAUGAACUGGAACCACAUCCCUCCCCAUCCUCAUUUAGACAUGUAAGAUAUUUCUGAACAGAAAAUUUGUCAAUACUACAAAUGUUGUUAUAUUUGAAGUUUGAGAUUAAGAGCAGAGUCAAAGCAAAAAAAAAAGGAGUUGGAUAAAAGACGGUGUGAGCAGCCGUUCUAUUUGCUGCAUUAAGCACUAAACAGGUGUUCUGUUUAUCUGUGCUACCUGUAAAUCUGUCCUACCUUGUGGUAAUGCGCACAUCGAUGCUACGCCACGUACUGUAAGACAAAGUAUGCAUGUAAAAGUGACGACGAGUUCGGUGUUCAUAUUACCACCAGUUCCAGUCUGCUCGACAUUGACUGGAUGCUACAGUGUGAUCAGAGCAGAAAACAGGCAUUUGGAGGGAAAAUGUAUAAUGAUGCGAGCCAUCUGUACAAGUAAAAUAAAAAUCACUAAAACAUCAA